AUUGAACGCUGGCGGCAUGCCUAACACAUGCAAGUCGAACGGAAACAGGACGCUGUGAUCCCUUCGGGGUGAACUUGUCGCUGUCGAGUGGCGGACGGGUGAGUAAUGCGUAGGAAUUUGCCUCAAAGUGGGGGAUAGCCCGAAGAAAUUCGGAUUAAUACCGCAUGUGCUCUACGGAGGAAAGCGGGCCUCUACUUGUAAGCUCGUGCUUUGAGAUAAGCCUACGUCGGAUUAGCUUGUUGGUAGGGUAACGGCCUACCAAGGCGACGAUCCGUAGCUGGUUUGAGAGGAUGAUCAGCCACACUGGGACUGAGACACGGCCCAGACUCCUACGGGAGGCAGCAGUGGGGAAUAUUGGACAAUGGGCGCAAGCCUGAUCCAGCAAUGCCGCGUGUGUGAAGAAGGCCUGCGGGUUGUAAAGCACUUUUAUCGGGAAAGAAAAUCUCGGGGUUAAUACCCCCGGGCCUUGACGGUACCCGAAGAAUAAGCACCGGCUAACUCCGUG
rnacentral:rRNA from 1 species